CAGGUGCAGGCGGACCAGGUCGAAGCCGGUGCGCUGGAACUGCGCCCGGAACUCGGUGCCGAGCCGGCCGGCGCGGUCCCACGUCGCGGUGUAUGC
rnacentral:tRNA from 1 species